rnacentral:lncRNA from 1 species
GGGGUAACUUUUUGCUAAUAGAGUGGUUGCAUGUUCCCGGUGUAACUAAACUACUAUGAUUAGUCAAGAACAAUCAACACUAAUAGUACACCCACACGUCUACAAUAGUGGAAGACCUCUAGACAACAUUCAUAGGAAGAUUAGGUUCAAGUCUCCUCUAAUCAGUUAACAAGUGAUUGAUCUAAUUCGCAUAGGCUAAACUAAACCACCAAACAACCAUAUUGAAGACUCAAUCUUUCAAAUUAGUUAGAUAAGUGGAGAUUAGUGGGAGGCUCUCCCUUAAUGGAUCAAAGAUCUUAAUUAAGUAACCACUUCUCAAUU